ensembl:snoRNA U3 Small nucleolar RNA U3
AAGACUAUACUUUCAGGGAUCAUUUCUAUAGUUCGCUACUAGAUCUGCUGCUGGCAGUGGUGGGAACUUGUCCCAGACUUGGU